UACAGGGGGUGCAAGCGUUGUUCGGAAUUAUUGGUCGUAAAGGGCGUGUAGGCGGGAUGGUGUGUCAGAUGUGAAAUACCUGGGCUCAACCCAGGAAUUGCAUUUGAAACUAUCAUUCUUGAGUACGGGAGAGGAAAGUGGAAUUCCCAGUGUAGAGGUGAAAUUCGUAGAUAUUGGGAGGAACACCGGUGGCGAAGGCGACUUUCUGGACCGAUACUGACGCUGAAACGCGAAAGCGUGGGUAGCAAACAGG
rnacentral:rRNA from 1 species